rnacentral:rRNA from 1 species
UGGGGAAUAUUGCACAAUGGGCGCAAGCCUGCUGCAGCGACGCCGCGUGGGGGAUGACGGCCUUCGGGUUGUAAACUCCUUUCGCUAGGGACGAAGCUUUUUGUGACGGUACCUAGAUAAGAAGCACCGGCUAACUACGUGCCAGCAGCCGCGGUAAUACGUAGGGUGCGAGCGUUGUCCGGAAUUACUGGGCGUAAAGGGCUCGUAGGUGGUUUGUCGCGUCGUCUGUGAAAUUCCGGGGCUUAACUCCGGGCGUGCAGGCGAUACGGGCAUAACUUGAGUACUGUAGGGGUAACUGGAGUUCCUGGUGUAGCGGUGAAAUGCGCAGAUAUCAGGAGGAACACCGAUGGCGAAGGCAGGUUACUGGGCAGUUACUGACGCUGAGGAGCGAAAGAAUGGGUAGCGAACAGG